AGACGUAUGUCAUGUUAAAUGUCACCCUGUUUUAAGAAAAGAGUCAUUACUUUAUACCGAGAAUUCUGCCUUUCUUCGUACAAAUGCUAACAUUCGUCUGAAAUUUCCCACAAUGCAAAUCGUUGAUAUAAGACAAUAUCGCUUGUUGAUAUAAGAAAAACUUUUAUCGAAUCGCUUCUUCAAUAGACUGUGUUUAUCAUUUGGGACCAUGUAGUGCGCACUAUUUUAUGUGAUUUUGCUCUUUAUUGAAGUCGUAUGGUGAUCUUUAACUGUUGAUAAAAUCUGCGUGAUUUGGUCUCUGUUUGAAAGUUGUCUCACUCGUAUUCAACUUACAUCUUCGUAUUCUAUAAUAAUGAUGUAUUUAUAUAAUUUAACACUUUCUUUUUUAGUACAUUAAUUAGAAAUUGUUUUCAGUUUUUCAUAUUUUUUAUCAAGUUUUGUAAGCGACGUAUACAAUUCAGCACAUUUCUGUUUUAAAUAUGUUAACUGCUGACACGAAUGUUUCCUUAUUGACAAAUUUUAAAACUUGUAAUUGUUUAACACAAUGAGAUAACAUACUUCCUUUUUAUUACACACUCUGUAAUAUAAGACAUCUUUGCAUAUUGCGCAUCUUUG
rnacentral:lncRNA from 1 species